rnacentral:rRNA from 1 species
AUGGAUCAGAAAUACCCUGUGCUGUAUAGCAUUUGCAAUAAGCAAGAAACCACGGUGGAUAAGUUUAGAAGCGGUGCGGGGGAUAAUUUCUUCCGAAGACAACUACAUUCGUCACUGUUAGAUCAAUGGAAUGAGCUUAAAUCUACAGUUGACUCCUGGGAGCUAUCAGAGGAACCUGAUCAGGUUAUUUGGAACCUUUGUAAGAAGAAAAAAUUUACGACCAAAUCGGUUUAUGAUCACCUGGAGAGAAACUUAACAGGGUGCAAUUAUAGGUGGAUUUGGCAAGCAAAAAUCCCCCUAAAGAUCCAAAUAUUCCUGUGGCAAGUUUUCCAGGACGCUAUUCUAACUAGGGACGUCAUGAGUAGAAGACGUUGGGCUGGCAACCCUAAAUGCUCUUUCUGCAGGGGCAGAGAGACGUCGACGCAUUUGUUUUUCACUUGUCCUGUGGCCAGGGUAAUCUGGAGG